rnacentral:lncRNA from 1 species
AUUAUUUUAUCGACAUAUGCAUACACCAUUAGUGUGGUGUCAAAGGUAAGCUAAAAUUAGAUCGAAACUGAUGCAAUAUAUGGUAAUGAGUUAUAAUACGGUGAAAACGUGUACCAAUAGCGUGUUUCAGCUAUUCCAUUCGUUUCGAAUUUAAGUUUUUUUCUCAAUCAUUCAUUACCAAAUUAUCUGAUUUAAAUGAAUUUUAUUUCAAUUUAUUUUGUUUAUUUUAUAAUAAUUAUUUUUAUAAUGUUUGGCGGGGAUACAAAUCUCUAAAAAAAAAAUGUUUCGAGAAAGAAAACAACCAAUAAAAAUAAAUAAGACAAUCUCCGACUGUUAUCAUGGUUAUGGAACGACCAUUUAACUUCAAAAUUUUUUUUUUCUUUACAAAAAAAUAUUGUGAUCCCCCAAUUUGGAGAUAAUAUAUAUUGUGAUUAAACAGAUGACAAAACAAGAAAAAAAAACUGAAUCCAAAUUUCCCCCAUACCUAUAUAUAUAUAGUGUUAAAUUUAUUCUAUUUCUAUUCCAAUGUUAUUUUUAAACAAUCAUGGUCUAUAUAGAUUUCUAAAACGGACCAAUUAUUUUCAAAAGGGAUAGGCCGGGGUUGGAGGAAGGGAGGAUAGACUGGCCGAUUACGAUAUAUUUAUACAAAUAAAACCCGAUUAACUUUUGAUCGAUCUUUUACUGGUCUUUUCCCUCCUCCCGAAACAUACAAUAUGUAGGGGAUUUUUUUUGAGAAUCAGUUGUCUAGCACAUGUUGUUAAUUAUUAUAAAAAUAAUGAUAACAAACGACAAUAAAUGUCCCACAAAAUGUACAAUAAAUGCUGUAGAAAUUAAAAUAUACAUGAAAUGAAGCGGAUUUUUUUUUAAGUAGGGAGACAUAGGUGCAGAAAAUUUUAUUAGAAGAUUUUCUUCCAAAAAAUAACUGAUUUUUACAAUCAAGGGGUAGAUGUGUUGGGUUGUGGAAGAGGUUGAUAGUACGCGCUUUCCAAUGGAGCCGUCACUUUAAACAAUUGUAUUCAAUGAUCUGUACAUGUAAGCACGAUCUAAAAUAUUCAAGACAAAGUUUUCAAAAUUAUUAUUGUACAUGUAUGAAGUUUUAUUUUCCUAUUUGUUUCAUUUAUGAAAUAAUCAUUCAAUCAAGAGUCUGGUUGUUCUUCGAUAAUUGUAUAUAUGUUAUUGUAAUUUUUUCAUAUUGCCCAUGUGUGCCCAUUGAUUUGAAAAGAAGUUUAUAACUAGUAUAAUGUUAUUCCUAAAUAUAUUCUAUCCUAUUCUAUUAAAAUCUGUUUUUUUUUUUACAUCCUAUCAUCUAUUCUUUUCGGUUCUUUUAUAUCCUAUCAUUUUCUAUCCUGUUCUUUUCCAUUCUAUUAUAUUCUAAUCUAUUCUAGAAAUAACCAAUCAUAGUACGUCUAGAUGACACACAAACACGUGGGACGUUGUUUGUAAACAAACAGCAUUAUUCUGUAAUAUGACCACGUAUUCAGCUUAGGCAGCAACCAUUUGAUUUUUUCGGGGGGGGGGGCUAUGGUUUUUUUUGGAAAAAAAAGUUUGUUUCCAGGUUUUGGUGAAAAAAAUAAUUUGUUUUGGACCCUGAGAAAAUAAAAUGUUUGUUUCACCCUCAGCUGCCACUAUAUGUAAUGCUAAAAUUGAAAGAAAAAAAUUGUUUUCGGUUUGUUGCUAAAAAAAUAGAUUAUUUUUCGCCAAAGGCGAAAACAAAAGUUUGCACAGAAAAAAAAACCAUAGCCCCCCCCCCCCCCCCCCCCCCAGAAAAUCAAAUGGUUGCUGCCUUACUUAAUAAUUAUAUUGCGUAUAAGACAAUCUUAAGUUAAGAUCUUACAAUAAUAUUGUAUACAAGACACACGACGUUAAGCUAUAUUACAAUUCGGAUUUAAAAAAACAAAUAAAAGAAUGAACUUCGACGAGUUUUAACAUACUUGUUCGCGAUAUUGUCAUGUGAUAUAAUGAGUCAUUUUCUAAAAAUAGACAUUCAGUGUUGCAUAUAUAUAUGUAGGACUCUAAAGUGCGAUGGGGACGCUAAAGUACGAUAGUCACGCUAAAGUGCGAUGGUCUACCUUAAAGUACGAUUCCUCCAUACGCUAAAGUGCGAUGGUCCGCGAAAGUAUAGAGGAGAGAAUUGUACUUGGAUUAGGACGUUAAAAGUUGUUUAUACAAACCAAAAAUGUAUAUGCCGGAACAUAAAUUAAGAACAUUGAUUCACAACUUUUAAACCAAAUGUCCAUGAUUUAAUUUCAGACCUAACUGUGCAUCGUCGGCUGAAGCAACUGUGUUGAUUUAUUUCGGAUGCUGGAAGAAGGACUUGUGUCCUGCAGUCGACCAUUUUACUUUAUAGAUGCUAAAUAGGUUGAAAAUAGUAUACGCAUAGGUAUCGUAGAUCCUGCUUCUAUUGGCAGCGAACGGAUGCACUGAAAUUAUUGUUUACAAUUCCGUUUACAUUGCGGUCCCCGUUAAAAUAUUCUCGAUGUUAUUGAAAAGUAACGUCAGGAAAAUAAAGGUUCAUGUUUUUCAGCGUAAAUUAUAAAUUGUCGGCUAAAACAUAGUUUGUACAGUGCAGGAAAAUAUAACAUGUCUUUUUUACGGAAAAGAGAAAGCUCGACGAAUAUCGCUUGUCCUCGCAUUUAAGAAUAAAGCUAAACACCUUGUACAAAUAAAUGUUACUUAAUGUAUUCAGACAAUGUGGUCGGUCUUAUAAAUUUAGAAACUAUCACUAUAUAAGCUUACCGAUAAAUCAUAAAGCCUAUCACAUAUGUUAUACCUUAGCAUUCUAGCUUUUGCAAAUAGACUAUUUUUUUUAUUUUUUUAAAUCCAUGUAUUUAAAUGUUUUAAACCGUCGAUCUUAUCAUAUUGGUCCAUCGCACUUUAGCGUGAUAUACCAUCGUACUUUAGCAAACAAACAACCAUCGCACUUUAGCGUGAGACACCAUCGUACUUUAGCGUAGACCAUCGCACUUUAGCGUGACCAUUGCACUUUAGAGUACCAUCGCACUUUAGAGUCCUACAUAUAUAACACUUCUUAUGAAUCAACUAUAUAUGUAAAUUGGACACUGUAAAGUAAGCUUUUUCUUGAUAAUAUAAAAGUUUUAAUAUUUUUCAACAAAUUUAUAUCAUCUGAUAACAGUUUAUCUAUAUUAUCUUUUAUGCCCUGUGUUUUUAUUUUAAUUGUUAACUAUAAACGUUCAGUGUGCAACGACUAAACAAGUUGAUUGGAAUAUGUCAACAUGGUUAAGGUCUUAUCAUUUUUUUUAAUUUAGAUACCAGAAAUGUAAAAAUAAAAAAAAUUAUAUAAACCGAAAUUCAAUAUAAAUCAAAUUACUGAUCAUAGUUUAUUGAUAUGGGAUUCAAUUUAAUAUUUUGUAAGAUCUUAAUAUUUUGGGAGGUUGCAUUUAUAAUCUGUUAUCUUGCAUACCAGUUCUAACAGGGGUGAUCUGAGCCGGAUCACCCGUACCAGAUCACCCUAGUUUGAGUUUCUUUGUUAUGCAUGCCUUCCUUUGUUCUGUAACAUUUUGGCGGGAAUGUCAAAUCCACUAUAAAACUUAUAAUUAAAUAUACAAUUAUACGGAAAAGACUAUCUAUCAAAAUUAACGUAGAAAACAUCCAGUGUAUAUGCUGGGAUUCGAACUCAAGACCUUUAGCAUAUCAAGCCACAACACAACCACUACACCAGGACGACUGGAUAUGGACUAUCAGUAAUUUAACAUACUUAAAGGAAGUAAGAUGUUUUUUAUAAGUGGGGCGAGUUGGCAGACCUUUAUUCAGUGGGGUUUAAACCCCUUUCGUUAAUAAGUGAGUUGUCAGUGAAAAGUAAAAUCACAAAAAUACUGAACUCAGAGGAAAAUCAAUUCGGAUUUGUUCAGUUUGAUUUUACACUUUUUAAAAAUGGGGCGAGUCGGUAAACAAGAGUGGGCGAUUUUUUUUCUUCAAAAAGUGGCGAGUUGACAUUGUUUAAUAUCUACUUAUCGUGUUCGGGGGUCAAACAGGGUAUUAAUCAUAAAGUAAUGUAUAAAGUAUAUUAUAAUGGUUUUGUGGCGUUCUAAACUAGAUUUUAUGAAUUGUAAAUGGUUUUUCGUCUAAUCUUAAUUUUAAUAUUCAAGAUAAAAAAGUGACCUUAUCAUACGUUGUCUUUUACCAUUUUUUGGGUGUAUGUUUCUCUUUGAUCUUUGAUGCUAUCAUAGACUUCUACUCAUUGAUGUAUUUCAGAUACACAGAGAGGAUCAUACUUUAGAAGGAAGAUCUAUUCUUAUUGUUUUAAUUACUGAUUCAUGGACAUCACUUUUAAAUUCAUAUUAUGUAUUCCAUUUCUUUGAGUACGCACGAACAUAAAACUGUUGGUAAUUUAAGAAUGUCCAUUAAAGACUUAUGUUAAGGACAAGACUUUAAUUUUGUAAUUUAGCUCUUUUUUGACGUUAUAUAUAAUGAUUCAAGACUUAGUACUUUUUUGAUAUAUUGUUAUAUUGUGUCAUUUCCAAUCAGUUUAACUAACUUUAAAUUCUUUUCAGAACAAGCUCAUAGCCGCUUACAAGAUGUUCCGUCAGAUGCUGUAAUUGAUACUUUGACAGAAAAGAACCUGAUUGGUGAUUGCGUUGUUCAUUUAGGACUUUAAUUGUGUCUUAGCAUUUGGAACAUUAGGAGUACUUUAUACAAUUUUCCUAGGGAUGUGAAUGGUCAGGUUCGUGAUCUUCUCAUUAAAUGGAAGAAUUGCAAUGAAACCAAGGUGGUAAAACCAAAAAUAUACCGACUUGUGGUAGCUUUAAAACAUAUUAAAGCAGCGAAAGGACUUAGUUUUGUGAAGAAAACAUAUGGUGUGGAAAAACACCUGAUAUGUUGUAUGUUGUGUAAAAGAAGAUAACAAAACAUGUGUAAAGGUAGUAAACAAAUAUGACGGGUACAACAUAGUCUAUUGAUUCAUAGACAAUAGCUAGAAUUAAAUUUAAGUUCUGCUUCCCUUUUAUUAUUUGAUAAUCAAAGUGUCUGUAUAUAGUUAAACAGAUGCUACAAUCACGUUUUUUAGUAUUGCGAGUGAGAAAGUUCAAAUUCUAUAUAAUAAAACAAAAUCAAAGUACACUAGUGGCCUCAUUUGAUUCAAUUAUAUAAUGAACAAUACGUUCUAUAAGCAUGGACAGUUUUUCAUUCAUACAACUUCGAAAAUUAUGGAACCAAAAAAGGCUACCAUUUUCGCCAAUUAUGUAAAUAACUAUUUCAACGUCAAACGAUAUAUAUUAAUAAAAACAAACCACCUUAUCUUCUUUUUAUGUUUGAAGUUUUGUGCUUGUUAUCAACAUGGUUGUUAUUCUGAAUAGCAUUCCUAAACUGUGAACGCAUGAACUGUGUGUUCCUUCAGUUCUAGUACACGUUGUAGCUCACCUGGCAGAAAAACCAAAUUGAAUUCAUUUUGCAUCUGUCAUCCGUCUUCCGAAUAUCAUUCCUAAACUGUGAAUGCACGAACUGUGUGCUCCUUCAGUUCUAGUACACUAGUAAUUUUAGCUCAUCUGGUAGAGAUACUUAUUCAGUUUUUUUAUCAUUUCGCGUCUGUCUUCCGUCGUCUGUUAACUUUAUAACAGUUUUAUCCUCUGAAACUACUGGGUCAAAUUGAACGAUACUUAACAAACAAAAUCAUCAUUUUGUAAUUAAUUUGAAAAAAAUAUGUCCGAUGACCCGCCUACUAAUCAAGGUGGUCGACAGGCCUAAAAAAAAGAAGAUGGGGGGGGGAUGCCGGUUUUACCUAUCAUAUUGAAAACCGCCAUAAAUAAAAAUAUUUUAAGGGGUCACAAGAGUUUAGAAUGUUGAGCGGUACCUAUUGUCUAUUGAGGUCAAAACUGUCAGACGACUUUUUAUAGAAGUAAUUGCACUUACAUGGUGUUUAUUUUCCUUUCAAUGGCCAUGUCCAUAUCUUAAAUACAUUUUUGUUUCCACUAUAACACAAAUAAUUGGAAUAUAUUUAAACUAUCUGAGAAUCCUUACCAAGUAAUCUUUUUGAGAACCUCUCGUUUUGUAUCAGAGUAUUGUUUUAGAUUUCCCUAAGCAAAUCUUGAAUAUUGCCAUUGAUAUAUAUGAGAUUAGGAUAUCAUUUUGGGAUCUUUACUCGCAGUACCUCUAGUUUUACUGGUUUUCUUUUACUGUUUCUUCUGAAAUUGUCUAAUGUUGUAUAGUAAUAAUAUUGCACAUGAUUUUAACGUACAUAACCCAAUAAAUAGUAAAUUUACAAGUU